CGCCUUGCAGAGAGAUCCAGCCUCUAAAUUUGAACAGGAGGGAGACGAGGUGACUGAGACUUUUGUUGCUGCUCUCUCUUGCGCGCACUCUCUCUCUCUCUCUCUCUCUCUCUCUCUCUCUCUCUCUCUCGCAAUGUUAUUUUUCCCCUCCUCUCCCAGUAGUGUGUGGAGAGAUUUUUUGGUAUGGAAGAGCAAGAGGAGGUGCAGAUUUCAGCUAGUGCAAAAUAGAACAAGGGGGAAGUAAAGAAAAUAGGAAAAGAAGAAGAAGAAAAAGAAGAAGAAGAAGAGAGAAAGACUUCACCCCCAUCUACCUCUUCCUCUCCCUCAUUCCCUCCUCUGCCACAGCUUUUAUCUCAGAAAUAGCGGAGGGACCAACUUCAAAAGGCAGUGAGGAAGGAGCUGGAGUGUGAAAUCUGAGAAGAGAAGCAAGAUGAGAGGCUGACCGGCGCUGUGUUUGCUAUGCUGUCCAGGAGUUGCCAGGAGAGCAGACUGGGACGUGCAGAUGACACCUGGCAGUAAUCUCAGUAAUCAUGGAAGACUAAGCAGAGGGAAUGAGAAGGAAUACACAAAGUGGACAUGACUGCCUAUACCUUCUGCCAAGCACCGUAGGCCCUGCAGAGUAGAGAAAAGAAACAUUUGGAAACUAAACAUAAAGGCAAAUCGGAAGCGAGCUGGAAGAACAACGAGCAAAGGGGGCAUCCUGGAUCCGAAAGGGAGGAGCUGCCAGGAGAUAUUACAACAUCCUCUGUGCGGACCACAAAGACAUCGGACAGUAAAUGGACCCAAACAAAGACAUUAAUAAAGAUGGUUGUAAACUGAAAUUGGAUGUAUGCAUUUGUGUAUGAUUGUUUGUGUGAAAUGGGCUACAAUAUCACAAUAAUACAUUAUUAAUUUGUUUGUCAUGCUAAUUAAAGCUACAUUAAUAUGGCAAAAUUAAUUUGUCACGCAAAUACUCAUUUUAUUGCAGUAUCCAAAUAUUCAUAAAUGUUUUAUGUGCCAGCUUUUAUUGCUUUUCAUGUGCUCAUUUCAACAGGUAAAGAGGAUACAAAGGUUUCAUGAGUACCACUGUGGUGAGCUGGUAAUGUAUUGUUCAUACUGUAUGUGCUCUACAUACUGUGUGUGCUGUACAUUGUGACACAGCUGUUAAAAAGCUUUGUCUCUCUCUCUCUUAUAGCCAUUUCAACCAGGCCAGGACAUGUCGAGGAAUGGUCCGUGAACAUGAGACGCGUAUGACAGCCUCACUGAAGUGAGCCUCAACUGCCCAUAAGCACACAUACACACAUUUGUGUGGUGUAGCUACAUGAUAUGUUGACCCUGACAUACAUACAGCUGGACCGACGCACACACACACACACACACACACUUCUGGCAUAAGUGAUAUCUGUUUUUUUUUGUUAAUGUGGCUCCAGUGCCGAGAUAUUAAGAUGUUUUUCUAGAGGAAUGUCUUUCUUUUGUCUUUGUAAUACAAAAAAAAAACUGAUGUUAAUAAAAUAUUUAUUGAAAAUCUC